GUGGGGAAUCUUAGACAAUGGGCGCAAGCCUGAUCUAGCCAUGCCGCGUGAGCGAUGAAGGCCUUAGGGUUGUAAAGCUCUUUCAGGGGGGAAGAUAAUGACGGUACCCCCAGAAGAAGCCCCGGCUAACUCCGUGCCAGCAGCCGCGGUAAUACAGAGGGGGCUAGCGUUGUUCGGAAUUACUGGGCGUAAAGCGCACGUAGGCGGACCAGAAAGUCAGGGGUGAAAUCCCGGGGCUCAACCCCGGAACUGCCUUGGAGACUCCUGGUCUUGAGGUCGAGAGAGGUGAGUGGAAUUCCGAGUGUAGAGGUGAAAUUCGUAGAUAUUCGGAGGAACACCAGUGGCGAAGGAGGCUCACUGGCUCGAUACUGACGCUGAGGUGCGAAAGCGUGGGGAGCAAACAGGAUUAGAAACCCUAGUAGUCC
rnacentral:rRNA from 1 species